UAUUAUGGAAAAUGGGUAAAUUGGAGUCUUUAAAGGAGCUGCCAACUUGCAUUUGCCUGAGUUACUUCAGCAGUGGAGAGGAGAGGAAGAAUUCCAGACACGUCAUCCUGAUUUCACAAGUGUGCAGAGAUCUCCAGAGUGGACUUGCCCAUCUGUGUGAGGAGGAAGGCUAUACAUGCAAAUUCAGAUUCCUGAAGCAUUCCCACUAACUCUGCCCUUCUGUUCUGGCAGAACGAGGAAAAACUGUGGGCUGCCAAAAGGUGAAGACAACCACUUUAUCUGCAAGAGAAUUUUCAUUUAUGGGACUUCACUGGUGAUGUAGGUUUGAAGUGGGAAAAUGGGCUUAAAGCCUUCUUCAGGAGAGAUUUACUCACAGUUUUCUCCAGUGGGAAGUGUACUUGCUGUAUUCUGAUUUAUAAAUGUAUUGACUCUGUGCUUUUGCUUUAUGAGGUUGUCCCCCAUCUUCUACUCUGGAUAAUUUGUAUUGACAAGAAUUCUU